rnacentral:rRNA from 1 species
CGCUGGUUGGACUGCCGAAAGGCUUGUGAGCCGGGGCUUGCAGCACCACCCGCGUUGUCUGUUUUGUGACCAGGCUGUGGAGUCCAUGACUCACAUACUCACAGUUUUUUCCUUCUCACGGACCUUGUGCCACAAGGUCCUAUCCAUAUCAGAUCAAACCCCCGCUGACGCGAUGCCUGCGAGGACUUCGUUUACUGCUGGCAGCGGACCUGCGCAAGGGCACCUCCUCGGUGAUUAUGCAACGCAGCCUAGCAUCACCAUUUUGCUCGACACGAUCAAGUCCGAGGCUCGAUCGUGGGCGAAGGCGGGGGUGGCAGGCCUGGCCACACUUCUCCCAGCAGUGUCUUCUUAG